rnacentral:lncRNA from 1 species
GAGGAAGGGAAAAAACUGUUAGUCACAUGACACCGAGGAAAUGACAUCAGCAAGUCAUGUGCUACUACCAUGGGUAGACCAAAGAGUUCUCGCACACCAUUGAGCGCUGCUGAAAAGCAAAGGCGCUAUCGUGCCAGGCGUGAUGCUGAUGUGCAGAGGAGACAGGAGUACUUGGUAAACGAGAAAGAGAAGUGGAGGAAAGAUGUAGAAACAGGAAAGAAGAAAACGCAAAAAGACAAGAGUGAGAGAGAGCAGCGUGUCCAUCGUAAAAAAUGGAGAGAGGCACAUAAGAGGAGUAAUGCCAGGAAAGAGGCACUUGAGAGAUUAAACGGAGCGAAAUUAAACCUUGAGCUGCAGAAAGUAAAUGAUCAGUUGAGAAAAGCAGAACAGAGGGCAGAAAAAUACAAAAAUCACCUCCAACGACUGAAAAAUAACAAUCCAUCUCCCAGAACAAAAGUCAACAAGUUGAUUGGGAACCUCUCAGGUACAUCCCUAAGAAGAACCUUAUUGUUCCAUAGAGCAGUGGCUGAGGAAGUACGUAACAAGUAUGUUCAUUCAAAAAGAGAGAGUGACAGACAAGUCAUUGCAGGAAUAGUCACCAGCAAGAUAAUAAUGAAGUACAGGCUGCAGAGAUUGGUGCAAGAAGUUUUGGGAUUUUCAAGGAGGAGGACAAAAUGUGCGACUGAAAAUGUCUGCAGGUACCAAAAAAACAAGUGCUUCACCUUUGUUGCCACUGAUGACCAGACAGAAGGCCCCAUUCACAACACACCAGAAGAGGUGCAGUGGCACAGCCAAGAGGUUGUGGGCAAAUGGUGUGCCCUGGUGUAUGACAACAUCAUCUACCCAGGGAUCAUCACAGAGGUGAAUGAGACCCACUGCCAGGUGAAAUGUUUGCACAAAGUGGGGUCAAACCGUUUCUACUGGCCAUUGAGGGAUGAUCUUCAUUGGUAUCCCUUACAAGAUGUGCUGAGCCUUAUUCCUCCCCCAGAGAACGUUACAUCACGCCACAUGGCUAUUGCAAGGGAGGUAUGGAAUACUCUGGCAUGCCACGGAAAGUGAAUGUGUGCUGCAGCAGGGUGGGACAUGUUCAAUUUAGUUAAUAUUUGUCAGUUCAUGACUAUUUUUUAAAAUGCUCAUUAAUCUUUAAGCACAUUUGUUGUUGUGUUGACAUGUUUGUUAUGCAUCAUUGAUACUCUUCCUGUUCAUCCUUCAUUGGAAAAUGUAUAUAAAAUAUUAUCAAACAACAUUUCUGUGGUCCUGAGUAUUUAUUUGUCACAUUUAUGUCAUGAUCUGCAACCAAAAGUAACGUAGCCAUUCAACCCUGUUACUAAAUCAUUUUCUAUCAAAAUAACCGUAAGUAAUUUUUUCAGCUCACAAAAGUUUAAACUAAUGUCGUUUUAAUAGCUUG